rnacentral:rRNA from 1 species
UACGGAGGAUGCAAGCGUUAUCCGGAAUGAUUGGGCGUAAAGCGUCCGCAGGUGGCAAUGUAAGUCUGCUGUUAAAGAGUCUAGCUCAACUAGAUAAAAGCAGUGGAAACUACAUAGCUAGAGUACGUUCGGGGCAGAGGGAAUUCCUGGUGUAGCGGUGAAAUGCGUAGAGAUCAGGAAGAACACCGGUGGCGAAGGCGCUCUGCUAGGCCGUAACUGACACUGAGGGACGAAAGCUAGGGAAGCGAAUGGG